UACGUAGGGUGCGAGCGUUAAUCGGAAUUACUGGGCGUAAAGCGUGCGCAGGCGGUCUCGUAAGCUGGGUGUGAAAUCCCCGGGCUCAACCUGGGAAUGGCAUUCAGGACUGCGAGGCUCGAGUGCGGCAGAGGGAGGUGGAAUUCCACGUGUAGCAGUGAAAUGCGUAGAGAUGUGGAGGAACACCGAUGGCGAAGGCAGUCUCCUGGGCCGGCACUGACGCUGAGGCGCGAAAGCGUGGGGAGCAAACAGG
rnacentral:rRNA from 1 species